UAGGGAAUAUUAGUAAUGGGCGAAAGCCUGAACUAGCAACGCCGCGUGUGCGAAGAAGGCCUUCGGGUUGUAAAGCACUUUUUGAGAGGAUGAGGAAGGACGGUACUCUCAGAAUAAGUCUCGGCUAACUACGUGCCAGCAGCCGCGGUAACACGUAGGAGGCGAACGUUAUCCGGAUUUACUGGGCGGAAAGCGCGUGUAGGUGGUUUGGUAAGUAGGGCGUGAAAGCUCCUGGCUUAACUGGGAGAGGCCGUUCUAAACUGCCGAGCUAGAGGAUGGUAGAGGGAGGUGGAAUUCCGGGUGUAGCGGUGGAAUGCGCAGAUAUCCGGAGGAACACCAGUGGCGAAAGCGGCCUCCUGGACCAUUCCUGACACUCGGACGCGAAAGCUAGGGUAGCAAACGG
rnacentral:rRNA from 1 species